GGGAAAUGAGAAGAGGGGCCAGCCUCAGGCCCCGCAAAAAACGGGGCG
rfam:Homo sapiens chromosome 19, GRCh38 reference primary assembly.